GUCGAGAAUAAUUCACAAUGGACGAAAGUCUGAUGGUGCAACGCCGCGUGGAGGAUGACGGUCUUCGGAUUGUAAACUCCUGUCAUCCGGGAGUAAGACCUGGCUGUGAAUAGCAGACAGGGUUGAUAGUACCGGAAGAGGAAGGGACGGCUAACUUCGUGCCAGCAGCCGCGGUAAUACGAAGGUCCCGAGCGUUGUUCGGAAUCACUGGGCGUAAAGGGAGCGUAGGCGGCGUGGUAAGUCAGAUGUGAAAUCCCGGGGCUCAACGCCGGAACGGCAUGCGAUACUGCCGUGCUAGAGGAAUGGAGAGGGAGCUGGAAUUCUUGGUGUAGCAGUGAAAUGCGUGGAGAUCAAGAGGAACACUCGUGGCGAAAGCGAGCUACUGGACAAUAUCUGACGCUGAGGCUCGAAGGCCAGGGUAGCGAAAGGGAUUAGAAACCCCUGUAGUCC
rnacentral:rRNA from 1 species